CAACCGGUAAUUGGCUCUAGUUGGCUGUCAGUAGAGCGGCUGUUAACCGGUUGGUCGCUGGUUCGAAUCCGGCCCGGGGAGCCA
rnacentral:tRNA from 1 species